GACGAACGCUGGCGGCGUGCCUAAUACAUGCAAGUAGAACGCUGAAGGAGGAGCUUGCUUCUCCGGAUGAGUUGCGAACGGGUGAGUAACGCGUAGGUAACCUGCCUGGUAGCGGGGGAUAACUAUUGGAAACGAUAGCUAAUACCGCAUAACAGUAGAUGUUGCAUGACAUUUGCUUAAAAGGUGCAAUUGCAUCACUACCAGAUGGACCUGCGUUGUAUUAGCUAGUUGGUGAGGUAACGGCUCACCAAGGCGACGAUACAUAGCCGACCUGAGAGGGUGGUCGGCCACACUGGGACUGAGACACGGCCCAGACUCCUACGGGAGGCAGCAGUAGGGAAUCUUCGGCAAUGGACGGAAGUCUGACCGAGCAACGCCGCGUGAGUGAAGAAGGUUUUCGGAUCGUAAAGCUCUGUUGUAAGAGAAGAACGAGUGUGAGAGUGGAAAGUUCACACUGUGACGGUAUCUGACCAGAAAGGGACGGCUAACUACGUG
rnacentral:rRNA from 1 species